GAGUUUGAUCCUGGCUCAGGACGAACGCUGGCGGCGCGCCUAACACAUGCAAGUCGAACGGAGCUUAGAGAGCUUGCUUUUUAAGCUUAGUGGCGAACGGGUGAGUAACGCGUGAGUAACCUGCCCUAGAGUGGGGGACAACAGUUGGAAACGACUGCUAAUACCGCAUAAGCCCACGGUACCGCAUGGCACUGAGGGAAAAGGAUUUAUUCGCUUUAGGAUGGACUCGCGUCCAAUUAGCUAGUUGGUGAGGUAACGGCCCACCAAGGCGACGAUUGGUAGCCGGACUGAGAGGUUGAACGGCCACAUUGGGACUGAGACACGGCCCAGACUCCUACGGGAGGCAGCAGUGGGGAAUAUUGCACAAUGGGGGAAACCCUGAUGCAGCGACGCCGCGUGGAGGAAGAAGGUUUUCGGAUUGUAAACUCCUGUUGUUGAGGAAGAUAAUGACGGUACUCAACAAGGAAGUGACGGCUAACUACGUGCCAGCCGCCGCGGUAAUUC
rnacentral:rRNA from 1 species